AAGUGGACCGUGCUUUAAAGUUGUUAUGUAUUUAAGGGAGACCGUAGCCUUACAUAUACUUUGCUAGCGUCAAUUACUUCCGAAGAAACGUACGUUAAAGAGAGAGGGGGUGGAGAGAGGGAGAGGAGUCCUGGCUGUUCAGCUAGUUCUGCUGGAGCUCGGCUUCCCUGCGCCGGGUCCCGGUCUCCCCGCCCCCCUCCGGGCGUCGCGCGUCUCGCGGCUUCCCUCCCCUCUCAGCUGGAGAGAGAGCUUCGCCGUCCCUCCUGAGCCGGGGAGGGGAGGAGCGACGCGAAAAGGGGCGGAAGUGCAAACAAGAGCCCGAGGAGAGCGAGCGAGCUUCGGCUUGCCGUCUGCUCUCACACGCUCGCGAGUUUGCUGGGAGCGCCUGCGCGUCGUCGGUGUGCUGCUGCUGCUGCUGCUGCUGCCUGUGCGCCCUGAACUCCGCGCGCCUCGGAAAGAGGCGCACUCCUGUCCGUGGCACUGGGGCGAAGUCUCAAGAGUGCCUGUCUGCCUGCCUCUCCCUUUCCCCCCCUUUCAAAGACCUGUGAUCGAGUAAACGGGAAGUGAGCAGCCAGCUAUAAUCUUGUUUGUUAGGUGCCUGCGCUGCCUCUCCUUGGGGUCCUUUCCCCAGCUUCACUUCCCCCUUGAAAAAGAAAAUCACAUUUCAUCAGCAAGACUUUAGCUAGCCGUUCCUGCAGCCUGCUGACAAACCUGUAACCCGGACGUGGCAAAAGACAGCAUGGAGGGGGAAUGAGUCUUAGGGAACACAUUCAGGGCAGGGCAGGUUGAAGGGUGUGGGAUUGUUUGAUGGCUCUGUUUUUCUGGCCGUUGUCAGGGCUUUGGUAACUAGGCUGCAGCCAGAUAGAAAAAGUAGAAGUCCCCUGUGUGUGUGUGCACAUACAUGCACACCCACAUGGUAUAUGGUUAGUGUGGCUGGA
rnacentral:lncRNA from 1 species